GGAUUAGUGGCGAACGGGUGAGUAACACGUGAGCAAUCUGCCCUUGACUCUGGGAUAAGCGUUGGAAACGACGUCUAAUACCGGAUACGACCCUCGGAGGCAUCUCCUGGGGGUGGAAAGAAUUUUGGUCAAGGAUGAGCUCGCGGCCUAUCAGCUUGUUGGUGAGGUAAUGGCUCACCAAGGCGACGACGGGUAGCCGGCCUGAGAGGGUGACCGGCCACACUGGGACUGAGACACGGCCCAGACUCCUACGGGAGGCAGCAGUGGGGAAUAUUGCACAAUGGGCGAAAGCCUGAUGCAGCAACGCCGCGUGAGGGACGACGGCCUUCGGGUUGUAAACCUCUUUUAGUAGGGAAGAAGCGAAAGUGACGGUACCUGCAGAAAAAGCACCGGCUAACUACGUGCCAGCAGCCGCGGUAAUACGUAGGGUGCAAGCGUUGUCCGGAAUUAUUGGGCGUAAAGAGCUCGUAGGCGGUUUGUCGCGUCUGCUGUGAAAACCCGAGGCUCAACCUCGGGCCUGCAGUGGGUACGGGCAGACUAGAGUGCGGUAGGGGAGAUUGGAAUUCCUGGUGUAGCGGUGGAAUGCGCAGAUAUCAGGAGGAACACCGAUGGCGAAGGCAGAUCUCUGGGCCGUAACUGACGCUGAGGAGCGAAAGCAUGGGGAGCGAACAGGAUUAGAUACCCUGGUAGU
rnacentral:rRNA from 1 species